UCCGUAGGCGGUGUGGCAAGUCGGUAGUGAAAUCUCUCGGCUUAACUGAGAGGCUGCUGCCGAAACUGCCAUGCUCGAGUGCGAGAGAGGCGAGUGGAAUUGUGGGUGUAGCGGUGAAAUGCGUAGAUAUCCGCAGGAACAUCCGAGGCGAAAGCGGCUCGCUGGAUCGCAACUGACGCUGAGGGACGAAAGCUAGGGGAGCAAACAGGAUUAGAUACCCUGGUAGUCCUAGCCCUAAACCAUCAGGACUUGGGGUUUGCCCUGUACGGGGCAAGUCCCGGAGCUAACGCGUUAAGUCCUGCGCCUGGGGAGUACGGUCGCAAGGCUGAA
rnacentral:rRNA from 1 species